rnacentral:rRNA from 1 species
UGGCGGUAUGCUUAACACAUGCAAGUCGAACGGAGGUCUUCGGACCUUAGUGGCGGACGGGUGAGUAACGCGUGAGAAUCUGGCCUCAGGACGGGGACAACGACUGGAAACGGUCGCUAAUACCCGAUGUGCCGAGAGGUGAAAGGAUUAAUUGCCUGAGGAUGAGCUCGCGUCUGAUUAGCUAGUUGGAGGGGUAAUGGCCCACCAAGGCGACGAUCAGUAGCUGGUCUGAGAGGAUGAUCAGCCACACUGGGACUGAGACACGGCCCAGACUCCUACGGGAGGCAGCAGUGGGGAAUUUUCCGCAAUGGGCGAAAGCCUGACGGAGCAAGACCGCGUGAGGGAAGACGGCCUACUGGUUGUAAACCUCUUUUGAUAGGGAAGAACACAAUGACGGUACCUAUCGAAUCAGCCUCGGCUAACUCCGUGCCAGCAGCCGCGGUAAUACGGAGGAGGCAAGCGUUAUCCGGAAUUAUUGGGCGUAAAGCGUCCGUAGGUGGAUAUUCAAGUCAGUUGUUAAAGCGUGGAGCUUAACUCCAUAAGGGCAAUUGAAACUGAAUGUCUAGAGUGCGAUAGGGGCAAGGGGAAUUCCCAGUGUAGCGGUGAAAUGCGUAGAUAUUGGGAAGAACAUCGGUGGCGAAAGCGCCUUG